CAACUACUCCCUCUAUCCCAAAUUUCUUGUCUUAGAUUACCUAGAUACGGGUGUAUCUAAUACUAAAAUGUGACUUGAUACAUCCGUAUCUAGACAAAUCUAAGACAAGAAUUUUGGGACGGAGGGAGUACUUU
rfam:Triticum aestivum genome assembly, contig: Triticum_aestivum_CS42_TGACv1_scaffold_646623_T_4BL-0.069279_4BS-0.039224